rnacentral:rRNA from 1 species
UACUCGCGGUCCAAGUCGCAGCCAUCAUUAUUGGGUCUAAAACAUCCGUAGCUUGCUUAAUAAGUUUCUUGUGAAAUUCCAUGUCUCAAAUAUGGAGCGGGCAAGAAGUACUGUUAAGCUAGAGACUGGAAGACGUAAGAAGUACGUUUGGAGUAGCGGUAAAAUGUGUUAAUCCCAGACGGACUAACAACAGCGAAGGCAUCUUACGAGGACAGUUCUGACAGUAAGGGAUGAAGGCUAGGGGCGCAAAAGGGAUUAGAUACCCCUGUAGUCCUAGCAGUAAACACUGCACACUAAACAUUAGUACCUCCUCGAGAGGUGUUAGUGCUGAAGAGAAGUCGAAGAGUGUGCUACCUGGGAAGUAUAGUCGCAAGGCUGAAACUUAAAGGAAUUGGCGGGGAGACACUACAACGGGUGACGCGUGCGGUUCAAUUAGAUUCUACACCGUGAACCUCACCAGGAGCGACAGCAGGAUGAAGGUCAGUCUGAAGGGCUUACCUGACACGCU